ACCCAGAAAGCGCCGUCCCAGCACCUUGCCGUCAAGUCGAAGAGACGGCCGCUCUGCCGGUCCCGAACUGGGACCCGGGGAAAACAACCCUCCUGCACGGCGAGGUGCUGUGGUGCCUCAGUGCCCAGGGAUGCCUUUGUCUUCAUCUUCACUUUCUUCCUUCAAGGAUCGAAUGAGCAACUCGCAUUCUUGGAGGUAAAGUCCAAGUUCUAAUUCCUGCCUCACCUGCUGAUCAUCAGGUGGACUGCUGAGGCUCGAGCUCAGGAGCAACCCGUAUUGAAAAGUCUGCAUCCAAAAGGAUGGCCGCUCUUGCCUCUGGUUCUAAAAACUGUACGUAAUGACUCAGCUCUCACUAGAGCCAUAGUGCUGCAUCCAGUUUCCCUGCUGGUGGAAGCUCCAGUAGAACCUUCUCAUCCCCAGAGAAGCACAUGAGAGAAGUCCUAGCUGUCCUAGGAACUCCUUGCUGUAAUGAACUGCAUCCCCAAAGCCUCCCGCAUGCAAGCACCUCUGCAGCACUGAAGCGGUGAAUGAUGGCAUCAGAAGGCAAUAUGGAGAACGCAGUGGCCAGUUUCGUGUGGGACACACCUGAGCAACUGGGAGCUGAUGCUCCACCAAAACUCAAGAUGGAACUCAGCAAGAUCCAGCCCACAGGGGGUACAAGCACAGCACGACGGAGCUGUCACUAGCAGCACUUGUCAGCCUGCUGUACAGCUAUUACGGGCAGCCCUGCUACGUGGAGGGAACAGCAGACAUGCAGUGGUGUUGGUGCAUCAGGCUCAUGACCUCCUAGGGGGCAAUGUUCGGUGAGUAGAGCAGUGCCUUCCUGUUCCAAGAAGUCUAGAUGGCUGGGACUGUGAAGGAGCUCCAAGGAGGCUUUCCAAGUUCUAAGGAGCACACCAUUUUGCAGAGCACCCAAGAGAGAACAUGGGAGCGCUACAAACUGAUGGCAAAGUGGGACAUCACAGCCAACUGCUGCCUGUGUAAGGAGCUGACAAGAAACAAUCCCUCCCUCUCCAUCUGAUAGGCAGGUAAGAACGUACUCCCAUGGUCUUCCCAGCUGGGAAGUCCAGACAGGCCAAGCCUUGAGAAAGGGAGCACCACAGGCACACCCACAUAGCUUUGUCCUUAUGACAGACAGAAGAUGUUCCUAUGGCAGCUAGUGCUCAACAACUGCGCCCAUCAGUGGGGUAGGACAGGCUGCCCUGGAAAGUGGUGGAGUCUCAGUCCCCCGAGGUUCUCAAGAAGCAUGUAGAUGUGCCACUGAGGGGCAUGCUUUAGUGGGUGUGGUGAUAAUGGGUCAGUGGUUGUCCUGGAUGAUCUUUGAGUCCUGAAAUCAUAAAACCCUUACAGUUGGAAGAGACUUUUAGAUGUCGUCCAGUCCACCUCCCCUGCAGUGAACAGGAUCAUCUACAGCUGGAUCAGGUUGACCCGGGCCUGAUCUUAGAGAUCUUCUAUGUUACAGACUCUGUGAUUGGUACAACUCUAAGACUCACGCUCCCCUCUGUGUCUCUCCAGAGGUAGUUCUUUAACACUACAUUUCCCCACCCCACCAAUCUGUCCUCUCUCCAGCAAGUAAGUGGAGCUACAUAGACGUAAAGGGUGGAUGGUAAAGCCAGAUGAGCUCCACCCUGUCAACCGUUUGCUGAACUGCAUCACCAUCCCAAAGUCCCCUCCUGUCCCAUUCUGCACAAGAGGGACAAAGAUCCAGACAGCCCUUGGCCUCUGUUUCCCCUCCUCCAGCUCUGUGUGAUGACAUCCUUGUGGUGCAGGGUGACACUCAAAGGCCACAAGUGCCUUCCCUUCAGGCAUGACCUCCUCCAGUCUGUUUUCUUUCUGUUUCAUCUGCUUUGCUCUGCCCCAGGCAGCCUUGCCCAAGACCUCAAGUCUGCCAGCUCACCCUACCCUCCUUCCUUCCACUACUGAGCUGUUCAGGCUAAGCCAAGCACUUCUGACAGAAGUGCUGUCACAGCUGAUAAACCGGAAGUACAGAGGAUGUGGAAGCCAAGUGAUGGGUGAAGUAGAUGACCACCUAGAGAUCUGCCUGGAUCAAUUAAAAUUCCAGGCACUCCUAGUGCAUCAGUUGUCCAAGGCUCUGGACAGUUGUUGGCCCUUCAGUCCCUCUGCACAAAUGUUGCCAGGACAAUGACAGAAAUGGAAACAGAGGGAGUAGGGGAAGAGCUCAGUGCAGCUCUUGGGACUUGAGGAAGGUGGGUGCUCACUUUGUGCUACGUUAUAGCUUCAUCCAGGGGCAUGGAGUGGGUAGGAAAGCUGACUUAGUUUGCAACACCUCUACAUUCAAAACACAAGCACUUGGCCCUGAAGUGCAGCAGCAGCAGCACUCAGUCACCAACUACAUGGCAUACCUCUGGCCAGAGGUAAUGCGCUGCGCUCCACUGCUCUUUACAGAGUGGUUUUCAGGUCACUAUCACCCGAAUCCAUCCCUGGUGUUCCCUCAGGGAUUCAGGGCCAGGAUCACUCCUGUGAGGAAAGCAUAAGAGCACUGAGUUGUAGAGAGAUUCCCGACUCCCUUCCCUGAGGGUCUUCAAAAGCCAGCAGCACACAGGCCUGGGAAACCUGCUCUGAUGGUCCUGCGGGAGAGUUCAGAACCAGAUCAUACAACCUUACAGCCAUUCAGUUGGGAAAAGACCAGGUACAAUUGUUAACCUACACAAACAUAGAAUCACAGAACCAUACCCUCACAGAACUGGAGAAUUAACGGAGUCAUUCAGAUUUGUAAACAGCUGUAAGACUCAUUCCAGCAUCACGUAACACAAGUCCACCACUAAACUGUCCCCACACACCUCAUCUACAUACCUCUUACACCCCUCCAGGCAUGACAACUUCAUUAAGCAAAACUCCCCCCACCACUGACCCCUAACCAUGUCUGCUUCUGUGCUGCUCGGUCAGCAGGAUGAGGCAGAAGUUUAGCUAGCAAUUCCUGGGCACAAAGGACACAAGGGAGAUGGAUAGGUGAGUACCUGGGGCCUGGGAGUGCUGCCCCAUGCCCUGCAGUGAACAAGUAACCCCUAGAAGGCAGGGUGAUCCCCCAUACCUGCAUGCAGCCUGCUAGCCCACUUCCCUCCUGCAUUCUGCAGUACUCCUUCCCCUUGGGCCAGUUUCUUCCCCUGUGCUGAGAUGGAGUUCAAGUUGUGGGUGACAGUGGCCACCAUCACUGAGUACAAGCACUCCUCCUGGGACUGCCACUUAACCAUCAGGGAUCCCCUCUAGGCAGACGGAGGCCAGACCACCUUCCAGCAUCCAUGCUGGGCUGAGGGCUGUUGAAACCACUCACCUCCUGCGUUUCCAGUGUCUCAUAGGUACCAUGAGUGGGUAGCUGACACAUCCCCAGUUAAAGUCCCUCUGACAAGCUCUGAUCAUUCACAGAGCAUGUCUAGCACUUCUGCGAUGCUUAUUCAGCCUUAGGUCAAUGAAAACCUGCUCCUGGAGAUGCCUAAUGCUGUAAGGCCAUUCUUUGCUGUGCAGAAGGACCCCAGCUUCUCCCCCCUUGGGCAUCAUUUUCCUUUCUGCCUCAUUCCUCUUCAUCCUUGUGCACUCCCUCCUCCUCUCCCACACCAUCAGGGCUGCAGGUACCACCCUUCGCCUUGACCUCAUUCCCAACAACCACAGACCAAAAAAGGUGAGCGUGACUGAUUCCCCGUGUCGUGGUUCCCACAAUGGUCACAUUCGUGCAGUCAAGGGACAAACGCUUCCUUAAAGAGCUUGGGUUUAAGUAGUGCAAGCAGUGCCAUUGGCAAAGAGGCUCCCAUGGGUAACCUUCGGACCCUCCUCCCCCAAUCUUCCUGUAGCUCUUCUUGCUUUGUCUCCCAUCAGAAUUACUCCUCAUGAGAUGGUUUUGCAGGCAGCGGACAUCUCAGGUCCUGCCAGCAGGAUACAUACAUUCACCUCCAUAUUGUCCUAACUUGGACCUAGCGGAGUGGAAUAACCCCCAUAACAUACCACUACACCAAUGAUCCCCUAUUGCCAUCUCACCGGAAGCAUUAGGAAAGGCAGUAGACUCAUUGAUUACUACCUACAAGAGAAGGGUGAGCUAUAAAGCCCCAGAAGGAACAAGCACCAGGCUUGUCACAGUGAAAGCCCUGCCUGUAGCUUGCUCAGGAAAGCCCAAAUACUACACAGUGCAAUACAGACGGUUCAGGUGUUCUGCAUCCCUACUGCACCAAGGCAGGUGCAAGAACUUCCGGGUCCACGCAAUACUGGCAUUACUCUUACACCUGCAUACCACAGCUGCUGUGGCCUUUCACCAACUCACAAAGGCCAAAAACAUGGCUGGAGGAAUGAAACAACGUCUUCCAGCAAGACAGAACUACCUUCUCAACAGGCCCAGGUGCUGGGUACACUCAAACCCACCCUUCCAGCUGAACUAGAAACACACGUAACUGAGAAUGGGUUUGGCUAGGGCCUGUGGCUGAGGCAGAACUCCAUUUAAACCCAGUUGUGUUCUGGUCUCAGUUCUGACAUGGAGCAGAAGAGAAGCGUAGCAUGAAAAAGUUACCUGGCUGCCUACUCUCAAUAACCCACACCGCUAAAGUCUCACUUAAGGCGAUUUCUCCAAUUCAGAAGCAGGUAAAACAUCUGACCCACCUCCCUAAGGCACGGUACACCAAACAGACAGCAGCAUGAUGGAUCACCUACUUCAGCCAGUGCUGCAGUUUGUCUUUAUCACCCUUGGAAGAAGAGCUUUGGAAGACCCUAGGCAUGGUCUCAUUCGUGCAAGAAUCCAGAGCUGAAGUUCACUCCCAGCCCUGUGCAUCAGCCAGUGUCCCCCCUUGCCAUCCCAUAGAAUUCACCAACAGGUCCACAUGGGUCCAACCACACUCCACAUUCCUACGGGACAAUCAGGGAUACCCACAUUGCUACAAUAGGCAUAAGUUGUAGUGACUUAACAGGCCUGACGGCUCAAUACACUUGACCAUUUGCUGUCUAGAGGGCACUGUCAGACACACACACAAAGGUCCUCCUGUUACCUCAAAAGUCUCACAGUGGUUGUGAGCUCCUUGAACCACAGAGGUAAGGAGUCCGGUGCAGUGGGACCCACUGCUGGUCUCAGACUUCAUCAAGCCUUUAUGUCAAAGGGGUCAUGUGCAAAAGCAAUCCAAGAUAAAACCUCAUGAAAAAGCUGCACAUGAACCUUUAACUGCUUAGCAAGGAUCAGUAUUGGCAAGGUAUCUCAACAUCAAGGUGUGAGGGCUCUCUCUCCAGGUGUGAACUCAAGAGACAGCCGCACUCAAGGGAAAUCCUGUCAAUGAACCUGCUGCCGUGCAGGAGAGCUCGAGGGGCAGUUGGGCUGUCUGGCAUCUUUGAGGUAGGAUGAGUGCCAGAUUUUGUCUGAGUGCACUCAUAGUUGCCCCCUAGCUGUUACGUCUGACAGCAGUUCUUUUGACCCCCCCAGGCCAAGACGCGUUUGUGACCAUUAAUCUGCUUUCACUAGAACACCAUCAAUACUGUUGCUCACUGUCUUUGUGGGCUAGGCCUAAUGUCCAAGGCCAGGACAAAGGAGGACAUUCAAAGGAAGAAAGCAAGUGUGGAGAGCAUGCUGGCUGUGCUGGGAAGAAAAUCUAGUAAGACCAGUGUUCCCAGUCAGAGUGCCAGGUGGCUUUUACCCCCAGGCAAUGCCCUGAAAAGGACUAGGGAGGGCUGGACUUGGACAGAAACAGCUACACCCCCUCACACCUCCCCUGCCCUUUCUUGCCUCAGCACGCUCCCAUGAGUCUUCUGCCUUUCACCAGCGAUCAUCUGAUCCAGACCUACAGGAAGGCUUCCACUUGCAAAUAGAUGAACUACACUAACUUGUAACAGCAGAUUGAGUAAAGAGUCACAUACCUGA